rnacentral:rRNA from 1 species
UACAUGGGGUGCAAACGUUGCUCGGAAUUAUUGGGCGUAAAGCGCGCGUAGGCGGUUGCCUAAGUCGGACGUGAAAGCCCUCGGCUUAACCGAGGAAGUGCAUCCGAAACUGAGCAGCUAGAGUACGAAAGAGGGUCGCGGAAUUCCCGGUGUAGAGGUGAAAUUCGUAGAUAUUCGCAAGAACACCAGUGGCGAAGGCGGGUCUCUGGACAGUUCCUGACGCUGAGGCACGAAGGCCAGGGGAGCAAACGGG